rnacentral:ncRNA from 1 species
AGGCGACUGUUUAUCAAAAACACAGGUUUCUGCAAAAUCGAAAGAUGACGUAUAGGGGCUGACGCCUGCCCGGUGCUGGAAGGUUAAGUGGAUGAGUUAGCUUCGGCGAAGCCCAGAAAUGAAGCCCCAGUAAACGGCGGCCGUAACUAUAACGGUCCUAAGGUAGCGAAAUUCCUUGUCGGGUAAGUUCCGACCCGCACGAAAGGCGUAACGAUCUGGGCACUGUCUCAACAAGAGACUCGGUGAAAUUGAGAUACCUGUGAAGAAGCAGGUUACCCGCGACAGGACGGAAAGACCCCAUGGAGCUUUACUGUAGCUUGAUAUUGGGUGUUGACACAGCUUGUACAGGAUAGGUAGGAGCCGUUGAAGCCGGAACGCUAGUUUCGGUGGAGGCAUUGGUGGGAUACUACCCUCGCUGUGUGAACACUCUAACCCGCGCCACUUAGCGUGGCGGGAGACAGUGUCAGGUAGGCAGUUUGACUGGGGCGGUCGCCUCCCAAACAGUAACGGAGGCGCCCAAAGGUUCCCUCAGAAUGGUUGGAAAUCAUUCAAUGAGUGUAAAGGCAGAAGGGAGCUUGACUGCGAGACAGACAGGUCGAGCAGGGACGAAAGUCGGGCUUAGUGAUCCGGUGGUUCCGUAUGGAAGGGCCAUCGCUCAACGGAUAAAAGCUACCCUGG